UACGUAGGGUGCGAGCGUUGUCCGGAAUUACUGGGCGUAAAGAGCUCGUAGGCGGUUUGUCGCGUCGUCUGUGAAAUUCUGCAACUCAAUUGUAGGCGUGCAGGCGAUACGGGCAGACUUGAGUACUACAGGGGAGACUGGAAUUCCUGGUGUAGCGGUGAAAUGCGCAGAUAUCAGGAGGAACACCGGUGGCGAAGGCGGGUCUCUGGGCCGAUACUGACGCUGAGGAGCGAAAGCGUGGGGAGCGAACAGG
rnacentral:rRNA from 1 species